CAAAAAAAAAAAAAAAGCUCAAUUUCAUUGUGUUUGAGAUGCAUAUCACAAAUUUUGAUUCAUUGUGUUAAGUGAAUCCUUUUCAAUUUAUGUGGAACCCAAAUAUUGAGCUUCUUAACAAGUCCAAGACAUUUUAAAUGAUUUUCAAUUGUUGUGUGUGAUACAUUAAACCUCACUGCAAUCUCACGCACAGUUACAUGACAAUCAGAUUCAGUAGCUUGACUAGAA